rnacentral:rRNA from 1 species
AGUCGACCGCCUGGGGAGUACGGCCGCAAGGUUAAAACUCAAAUGAAUUGACGGGGGCCCGCACAAGCGGUGGAGCAUGUGGUUUAAUUCGAUGCAACGCGAAGAACCUUACCUGGUCUUGACAUCCACAGAACUUUCCAGAGAUGGAUUGGUGCCUUCGGGAACUGUGAGACAGGUGCUGCAUGGCUGUCGUCAGCUCGUGUUGUGAAAUGUUGGGUUAAGUCCCGCAACGAGCGCAACCCUUAUCCUUUGUUGCCAGCGGUCCGGCCGGGAACUCAAAGGAGACUGCCAGUGAUAAACUGGAGGAAGGUGGGGAUGACGUCAAGUCAUCAUGGCCCUUACGACCAGGGCUACACACGUGCUACAAUGGCGCAUACAAAGAGAAGCGACCUCGCGAGAGCAAGCGGACCUCAUAAAGUGCGUCGUAGUCCGGAUUGGAGUCUGCAACUCGACUCCAUGAAGUCGGAAUCGCUAGUAAUCGUGGAUCAGAAUGCCACGGUGAAUACGUUCCCGGGCCUUGUACACACCGCCCGUCACACCAUGGGAGUGAGUUGCAAAAGAAGUAGGUAGCUUAACCUUCGGGAGGGCGCUUACCACUUUGUGAUUCAUGACUGGGGUGAAGUCGUAACAAGGUAACCGUAGGGGAACCUGCGGUUG